rfam:Triticum aestivum genome assembly, contig: Triticum_aestivum_CS42_TGACv1_scaffold_434916_5DL
GUAGUACUCCCUCUGUCCAGAAAAGUUUGUCCCUUGAAUGGAUGUAUCUAGCACCAAGUUAGUACUAGAUACAUCCAUUUAAAGGACAAGGUUGGGAUAAGAUUUUUCGGACGGAGGGAGUACUGU